rnacentral:rRNA from 1 species
UACGGAGGAUGCAAGCGUUAUCCGGAUUUAUUGGGUUUAAAGGGUGCGUAGGCGGAUCAAUAAGUCAGUGGUGAAAACCUUCAGCUUAACUGGAGACUUGCCAUUGAUACUGUUGGUCUUGAGUGUGGUUAAGGUAGGCGGAAUGUGUAAUGUAGCGGUGAAAUGCUUAGAUAUUACACAGAACACCGAUUGCGAAGGCAGCUUACUGAGCCAUAACUGACGCUGAUGCACGAAAGCGUGGGGAGCGAACAGG